CAUGCACCAGUGGGGUCCCUUGGCCUGGCCUGUGACCUAUCGCAAUCCGGGACCCCUCAGGGGAUGUCGGACUGCCGGUUUCUGCCCGAAUCCUGCAGGCUAGGCCAAGGGACCCCACUGGUGCAUG
rnacentral:pre_miRNA from 1 species